CGCGUAGGCGGUUUGAUAAGUCGGAUGUGAAAGCCCCGGGCUCAACCUGGGAAUUGCAUUCGAUACUGUCAGGCUAGAGUAUGGUAGAGGGAAGUGGAAUUCCAGGUGUAGCGGUGAAAUGCGUAGAUAUCGGGAGGAACACCAGAGGCGAAGGCGGUCACCUGGCUCGACACUGACGCUGAGGCGCGAAAGCGUGGGCAGCAAACA
rnacentral:rRNA from 1 species